CCGACAUUUCCAGGGGGUGAAAUGGCCAUCGAGGUGUUUGAACUAGCAGAGAAUGAGGAUGCACUGUCCCCUGUGGAGAUGGAGCCUGAAAAGCUGGUGCACAAGUUCAAGGAGCUCCAGAUCAAGCAUGCUGUCACUGAAGCGGAAAUCCAGCAGCUGAAGCGGAAGUUGCAGAGUCUGGAGCAGGAGAAAGGGCGCUGGCGGGUGGAGAAGGCCCAGCUGGAGCAGAGUGUGGAGGAGAAUAAGGAGCGGAUGGAGAAGCUAGAAGGCUACUGGGGUGAGGCCCAGAGCCUGUGCCAGGCUGUGGAUGAGCACCUGCGGGAGACUCAGGCCCAGUAUCAGGCCCUGGAGCGAAAGUACAGCAAGGCCAAGCGUCUCAUCAAGGACUACCAGCAAAAGGAGAUCGAGUUCCUGAAAAAAGAGACCGCCCAGCGUCGGGUACUGGAAGAGUCGGAGCUAGCCAGGAAGGAGGAAAUGGACAAACUUCUGGAUAAGGUAGAGCCCACUGUUUUCCAAUGUUUUCACUGGAGGGCAAAAUUUUACUACUCAUCUUUCUGGAGACCAGGGCUGCUUACUGUCAGCCUGCUUUCUAAGUGAAAUUGACUCCAUUUCCCCACGUUAACCCCAAAUUGGGGCUUGGACCAAGGGAGGUGAGAACCCUCAGGUACCCUCCCCUUUCAGAAUCCAUCUCUUGCCACUUCCACAUACCACCCCGGCCCUAAGCCUAACUUUGUUUUAUUUUUUUUUUCUUCUUUUUAAAACAACCCAGUUCUAUCCUUUUCGGUUUCUCCUAGUCCCCUGUAAAUAGACCAUACCAUCAAUCAGUAUUUCUUGCCCCUCUCUUCCUCCCCUCGACGUGCCCCUACUCCCCCGAAAGAGCUGGCUGUCACAGUGCCCGGCCCCUGCACUUCACCCAGGCAGAUGGAGGGGGCGGAGCCGGGUGGGCGGGCCCUCGGUGUACUUCCGGUUUUGACCGGCAGCGCUCCUGCCCCGCCCUUGGAGGACCCCGUCUCUGUAUAUAAUAUAUAUAUGUAUGUAUUGUUCCUGGUUUUGUACGGACCAUGCCCUCUGUCAGGUCGUCCCCAUAAAAGCAGCCCCCAGAG
rnacentral:lncRNA from 1 species